GAUCAUGGCUCAGGAUGAACGCUAGCUACAGGCUUAACACAUGCAAGUCGAGGGGCAGCAUGGUCUUAGCUUGCUAAGGCCGAUGGCGACCGGCGCACGGGUGAGUAACACGUAUCCAACCUGCCGUCUACUCUUGGACAGCCUUCUGAAAGGAAGAUUAAUACAAGAUGGCAUCAUGAGUUCACAUGUUCACAUGAUUAAAAGGUAUUCCGGUAGACGAUGGGGA
rnacentral:rRNA from 1 species